AGUGGGCGCGAGGAAGAAGAGAUGACAUUAGGAGUUUCAGGCGCCAACUCAGAGCAAAACAGCGCAGGUGCUGCUGUCAUGCCAACCUGAAUCAUAACCGUGGUGACUGGGGAGAGGUCACAAUCCUUCCCAAAGCCCAGCUUCCUUAGCUACAAAAUGAGCAGAAGAAUACUUACAUGAUCGAUCAGGAUUAAAGGAGAUCAUGCCAUGUAAAACAACGAGCACGGAGCUCAGUACGUAAGUGCUCAACUAAUGGUUGCUUCUCUCGUUGCUGUUAUUAAUUCACCACAUCCACUAACGAACGUGGCUGAUGCCACUGCUGUGUUUGUCCUCUGGGUUACGUCAUGACGACACAGGAUCACAGGGUCACAGACGGAACACGACACACACUGUCUGACCCAGCACCCGUGGCCUCCUGUACACACUCUAGCCAAAACCCGCAGGAAGAGCGAGGUUCGCCAUCAAAAUCAUACAAAAGAAGUUUAAGAGACUUUCCACGGCACCUGUGAUUUGUGUUCAGGGAAUUCAAGGGCUCUCAGACUAACGGAUGGAAGAAGACUGGAAAUAGAGCACAUCUUGAUUUUAAGACCCCUAACCUAGCAACAUCCUUAUGAAUGAGGCCAAUUUGGAGCAGAUUUUAUUUAUUUAUUCAUGAGAGACACAGAGAGAGAGGCAGAGACACAGGCAGAG